GGGGCGGUAGUCUAGAGGGUAUCUCGCUCUGCGUUGUAGUGUUUGAAAACUAUAACCUCUUCAUCGCAGAGAGAUCGGUGGUUCGAUUCCAUCCCGCCCCU
rnacentral:tRNA from 1 species